rnacentral:rRNA from 1 species
CCUACGGGAGACAGCAGUGAGGAAUAUUGGUCAAUGGACGAGAGUCUGAACCAGCCAAGUAGCGUGAAGGAUGACUGCCCUAUGGGUUGUAAACUUCUUUUAUAUGGGAAUAAAAUGUUCCACGUGUGGGAUUUUGUAUGUACCAUAUGAAUAAGGAUCGGCUAACUCCGUGCCAGCAGCCGCGGUAAUACGGAGGAUCCGAGCGUUAUCCGGCUUUAUUGGGUUUAAAGGGAGCGUAGGUGGAUUGUUAAGUCAGUUGUGAAAGUUUGCGGCUCAACCGUAAAAUUGCAGUUGAAACUGGCAGUCUUGAGUACAGUAGAGGUGGGCGGAAUUCGUGGUGUAGCGGUGAAAUGCUUAGAUAUCACGAAGAACUCCGAUUGCGAAGGCAGUUCACUGGACUGCAACUGACACUGAGGCUCGAAAGUGUGGGUAUCAAACAGGAUUAGAUACCCCUGUAGUC